UCCCUAAAAAAGGGCAGUCCCGCCUGACACUUGUAACAGGCAAUGAGGGUUGCGUUCGUUACCCCACUUAAGGGAACAAUUCAAACCACGAACUGACGACGGCCAUGCAUCACCUGUCCAGCCGCCCGAAGGCUGCUCUGGUUUCCCAGGGCAUACGACUGGAUUUCUAGUCUGGGUAAGGUUCUUCGUUUAUCGACGAAUUGAGCCGCAUGUUCCACCGCUUGUGCAAGUCCCCGUCUAUUCCUUUGAGUUUUAAGCUUGCGCUCGUACUACCCAGGCGGAUGACUUAACGCGUUAGCUUCGCCUCGAAGAGGGUCGAUACUCUUCAAAGCCAGUCAUCAUCGUUUAGGGCGUGGACUA
rnacentral:misc_RNA from 1 species